ensembl:lncRNA
GUUUUAAAACAGGCUCUUGCUAGGUAGCAAAGCUGACCUAGACUCACAAUCACCGUGACUGCUACACUGGAAACGCAGACACAUUUGUGUCUCCCACACCAUCAGGUUUUAUCGCAGCAUUUGUCACAAUUUACCAAGUAAUCCCAAUCUUCAAUAGUUGGCCAUUGUCAACCACAUGUUCUCAUAGCCUAAUCUUAAUUGCAGAUAUUAACUCUCAGGUCAUACUUUGCAAAAUGGCUACAGAAGCGUUACUGAGAUGGUGGAGUUCAAAGAGGUCUUAGUGGGGCCAGGGUCAAGACUGCUGCAGACACCAAGCACAAAAGGGUCAUUGCGGGUGUGAAGACCGCCUGGAGAGCUGCUGGAGGCAAGCAGUCCUGCAACAGGAAGCCCAAGACCAGGUCUGGAUAUGUGAAGAGUAAUUCAGUAACUAAGCAGGUUCUGUCAGACAGCCAGGACCACGAUGCGCUGAAGCUCUGAGGAUCUUCUGGAACUCUCUCCUAUUGAUUCUUUCUGCACUGGGUGAUUGGAUAACAGGUCAGCAAGACCAUCACAGAUCACAAUGGAUGUUUAUGAACGAUGGAUGCUAACACCAUGAACAAGGAUCUGUUUAAGGCUACUCUAUUUCUUGGAUCUACACUCAGAAGUAGAAUUGCUGGAUCAUGUGCUAGCUGGGUCUAUGUUUAACUUUUUCAGGAGUUGCCAAACGAUUCCCUCAGCAACCCCCCGUGGAAGUUUGAUGAAGAUGGUUUUAUAAUGGGAUUUGGCAGUGAGCGUUACUGUAUCUAUUUUUUUUUAUUCUCUCAUAUUUACCUAUUUUUCUCUGAGGGUUUCUAAAAGUCCUUUUAGUUCUUUUUUUUUUUUCUUUUAUCUGUUUAACUAUGCUGUGCCCGAGGGCGGUUCUGAAUUGAGACUCUAUUAAUUGCCUAGCUUGGGCUAACAAAAAGGUUGGGGGAGUGCCAAUUCAUCCUCCCAUUUUCCAACCUUCUUGAGCUGUACUGUGGGUCCAGCAAAAAUGAUGUCAGCUACUCAUUUGUGGAAACCUUUGUCACCUUCUUCAGCGUGAACCCAUCCCCACCCCACCCCACCACUGGUAGGAGCUAAUCAGAGCCUACCUACUGGACACCACUAGCUCCUGGGGGUAGCACAGGAAGGGCCUCUGUUGCUUGUGUUGAUUUUCAUGUUCAUUCCUAACAAUGUCACCUUGCAGUGCACACACACGUGCACACAUCUCAGAAUCUGGUACAUUCGGACAUGAAGCCUUCAGGACACUCACCUAAUAGUUUCAUCAUGAGGAUACAAUAUAUUCAGUGAAACACAUUGGGACUAGGGAUGUGGCCCUCACUGGUCUCCAGGUGACAGUACUUGCCUAACAAGGGCUCUGUCUUUAACACAACAAAUGCACACCACAUGAACUGAUCCGUUUAAUGAAUAAUUAUAAACAUCCUUGCCCUACCACCAGCUUAAAGAGAACACUCUCCAGUUUUAUCCCCCCCUGAGAGACUGGGACCAGUGCCGAGCCAUCCCUCCCCUUCCCAAUGGUGCAGCCUUACUCUGAGCUUUAUCAUCUCCCUCUCUGUUCUCCCUCUGAAGCUUCGCGCAUCUCUGAAGACACGGUUUCUGUUUUGCUUGGUUUGAACUUCACAUCAAGGAAAUAAUGCUAACCUCUCUGUGUUUGCUUUUUCUCCUCUCCUGUAUGCCUGUGGGAGACAUUCAUGACACUGCACCUAGCUGUAGUUAUCUGGUCUUCACAGACGGAUGCGGUGCUGUGGUACAAAACGGCACAAUGUGCUUAGGGAGUACAUGCUAUGGCUGUAUUGUUUGCUAGGCCUUGGAUUGGCGCCAGUUGAGGACUAUUCACAGAAUAAAAACAAAAAACCUCCCAUGAUCACUUUCACAGGUCUCCAGGUGACAGUAUGUGUCAUGUGCAUGUGUGUGUGCACGCACGUGUUGCUGUGUGUCUACUUCGAGCCCAGCAUUCAUGGACGCUGGCCUGUUUGUCCAAGCAGCUAUGGUGACCCCACAUCUACCCCAGGUUUGGAUCCCCCUCGGUUCCUGUAAAUUAUGAAGCCCCUGUGGGCAGGGGCAAGUGGCGCCUGAACAGGGGACCCGAGGCACGGAUCCUCUCCAGACAGAAGGCGAUUGUGUGACCCCGGCUGGGGAACCAAGCGGACGGACACCGUAGACUGACUCGAAUCGGAAGUGAACACACCGUGUUGCCACUCGUAGAUCGCAUCGCGAGCUCUUGUCACUCAUGAGAGAAAGUCUCGAACAGACCAUGCUGACCAUGUUCCCCUUCAUCUGGAUCCCUGGAAGCAUCAUCACGCCUGCCCUGCUACAUCGCCUCACCAGAUCUCCAACUAUACCUGGGAGAUUCUUAAUGGCGCAGGAGAUGUGGUGUCUGCCAACUCCACCACCGCUGCACGAGUUCCCUGGCCCAAUCUUGAGGUAGAUCUUUGCAAAUUAGCCCUAGAAGCUCACCUUGAUUGGGGCACACCUGAUGUCUUUGCCCCCCAAGAAAAAGCGCCUGAGCUGGCAGACCCCAGAACUGACCCGGGUUGCAGUAAUACACUCAGAAGAGCCACAUUGGCCCUUCAAACUGGGGGAAUUUAUUUAUGCCCUGCUGGCCACAGAGAUCGUACAAAGGCCAGAGGCUGUGGGUAUGAAACUGAUUUCUGC